GUUAAAAAGGCGGCAAGAAAGAAGAUGCACACGCAGCGGGUUUAGGGUUUUAGGGUUUUAGGGAGCGCGGGGGAGGAGGAGCUUUGUCUGAGCUGAGACUGAGACUGAGACAUGGCUUUUUGGGGAGUCGAAGUAAAACCGGGAAAGCCUUUUUCUCAUAAACAUGACCCCUCCAAAGGACGCCUCCAUAUUUCGAUGGGCACUUUGGGGUUGGGCACUGCAAUAGCAAAAAGCACUCUGCAGUGCAAUGUGGGAAACAGGAGCCCUGUGUACCUGUGCUCUCUCUAUCCCGGAAAAACCGAGUCGUUGCAGUUAAAUUUAGAGCUCGAGGAAGUUGAUGAAACUGUUGUUUUCUCUGUAAUUGGUCCUCGGAGCAUUCAUCUCUGCGGUUACUAUCUCGUCACUGCCCGCAACUCCAAUCUCGUUGAUGAUUCGGAGUCAUUUGGGGAGGACAUUGCAGAUACAGAAACAGAGAAAUCUGAUUACAGUGAAGAUGAGUAUGAUGAUAGUUUUAUUGAUGAUGACGGUGUUCCAGAGGCUUUCCUACCAUCUCCUAUUUCUGAAGAAGAGGAAGCUUCUCAUGAUAGCAGAGAAAAAGGUAGGAAAGGCAGCCUUAGACGGCUGAGGAAAAAGUACCAGUCAGUAGAGUCUGAUGAUGAUAGCCGUCACGAAGAAAAGAUAAUUGCUGAUGACAGUAUGGAUGACCAAACCCAGGAAAUCAAAGAUGAUGAAGAUAUCCUACCUAUUUCAUCUCUUUACAAGAAUAAAGCCUCUCAAAGGGUCUUGGACGAGGAAAUGGAUGCUAGUGUUGACAGACAGGCAGGUGAUGCCAGCAACAAGAAUGGUGAAGAUGGUGGAAAUAGUAUUGUUGAAACAAAUUUAAAAGCUGACCAUGACCUUGUAGAUAGUCAGACGCUCAGGGAAGCUCAACCCUCAAACCACUUGGUAGAUCCUUGCAUUGUUCUGGAUGUUGGGGAUAUUAAAAAUUUAAAAAAGAAAAAGAAGAGAAAGGGAAAAGAGAUUGAUAGCUCCAGUAAUGAUCAUUCUAUCAAACUAGAUAGUGGUAUAGGAGGUGAGCCAAAAAUGGAAAAGAUGACCCAGGAUUUUGUGGCAGGAAACAAACAACAGCAGCAUGAUGAUGAUAACAGGGAUGCCAAUAUUUCAGGCAAUGUUGCAUUGCCUUCUGCUGACACAGGUCCUAAAAAAAAUAGAACAAAGAAGAAAAAGAAAGAACAGGUAAACAAAAGUGACAACGGAUAUCAAGAAGGUAUCAUCCAAGAGGACAAAGCCAAAAGAGAUGCAGCAGAGUCCCAGAAUCUGAUCCAUAAAGUUUUUGCAGAAAAAGAACUGCAUGAGAAUCUAACUAAUGAGAAGAGUGUGGACAAUGGUGCUCAUGAGUCUCCUGAUGGAAAUCUAUCUGAUGAUAGAAAAGUUAAGAAAAGGAAGAAAAUGAGUAAGAGUCCGGGCAAUGGGGAAGUUGCAAAUUCUGAUAUGCCUGUAUCUGUUGAGCAAAGUGGUGAAACUGAGAUGAUGGAGGAAGACAGAAAUAAGAGGGAAGAUGCAAAGCCUUCCCAAGUUAGAACAUUGGCAAAUGGACUAGUUAUUCAAGAACUAGAAAAGGGGAGGCAAGAUGGAAAAAUAGCUGCUUUGGGGAAAAAGUCUUUGGUUACAGAUCAGCAUCUAUUACACCGGCAAGAUGAAGGAAGAUGGAGUAGUAUUUGCAUCAAAUGCUGGCCAAGCUCCUUACAAAUUUCGCCUUGGCAAAGGAAAAGUUAUUGAGGGUUGGGAUGUUGGCCUUGAAGGCAUGCAAGUUGGAGAGAAGAGAAGACUUGUAAUUCCACCAUCAUUGACGUCUGAGAGUGAUGAACAUUGUGCCAAGAUACCACCAAAUUCAUGGUUGGUUUAUGACUUUGAACUGGUUAAAGUUCAUUGAAUUUCAUCGAGGUGAUGGUGGCUAGUUAAGAUUUUGGGUGGAAAAAAAUUUCAUGGAGUCUGGAGGCAAUACAGUGGACGGCUGAAAGCCAACUGUCAAAUCAACAGUACAGUUUUCUUUUUUGGAUUGGUUGAACUUGGAUUUCUGUUAGCCGGUGAAUAGUUUUUGGUCUAGAAGAUAGUGGGUUUUGGUAUACCGUGUUAAAAGUAUAAGAUGUUGAGGGUGAAGAUAGUGAAAAUGUUCACAUAAAUAUAACGCUGAACUAAGUAACAUUAUAUACUUUUUGAUUACAAAAUGUUCCGGGGCAUAGCCAACUAUAACCCUCAACGAACGUUGAUUUUUAAGUUCCCUCUCAUACUUCUCUGUUGAAUGUUAUUGGAAUUCAUGCUGCCAUCAAACCCCACACUUUGUUUU